GGCUGCGCACGCUAAUCACCGCCUAGCCCCGUCCCGCGAGCAGAGCCGCUUUCAGCUUUUCGAGUCGCCCGGUUCCGCCGGCCUCUCCUGUUUCCCACGGAUGGGACCUUCCGAAGGGCGCCGAAUGGGGCUCUGGAAGGGACCACUGGGAAAGCGGGGGGGGGGGGCCCGAGCGGAGCGCCGCGCGGCUUCCUUUGGCUCGAGUACAAUAGCGGGGCUGCGGGGCGCCUACAGCUCCCAGGCUGCGGGGCUGCGGCCGGCGCCGCGCGGCAUGCCGGGACCUGUAGUCGCGGCGGGGCGGCGGCGCCCGCUCGGGCCCCCGGCCGGGAAGGCAGGGCGCCGGGGCGGGUUUUGCGUUGUUGCCCUCUUACCGAGGGUGCCGCUGAAAGGGCCGGCGGGAGGCCUCGAGCCGCGGAAGGAGGCCGAGGCGGGACGCAGGGCUCCCGGAGGCCGAGCGGCCGGCGCCGCUGCGCUGAUGUUCAUGGAGGCUAAUGUACGGAGGACAGAAGGACACAUCAAGGAACUGGGAGAGAGAUCCAGUGCUGUGCUGAGGAAGGAGGACAGACAAUUUUCCUGUUCAAAGAUAGCUUCUUAUGUCCCCACAAGAUGCAGAAACGUCUUUACCACUGAAGACAGUACAAUUUGGGAUAAGGACCCAGCAUAUGAAAGAACUAGCACAUGGAGUGUAAUUGCCAGGAAGCUGUUCAACAGCUCAAGGAGGAACGCCGAUAUCAGUGGGAUAUGUGAUUCCAACUGCUGGAAAUAAGAGAAGAAAUCGGGUGCUAUUUUCUAUCUCUCUGUGUGUUUUGAAACGUUUAAAAUUGGACCUAUGAGUUCCCAAAUGGAAAUACUGCUGUCCCUGGACUCCACCGUACACUUGGCAGAGCCUAUUUUGCUGCGAGUCGAAGGGCAGCUGCAGAGCUAUUGUGGACUGCGCGGAGGGAACCUCAUUUGCCUGCCUGUAACAAAGCUUCGGUGAAGGGUAUUCCCCAGGCCCCGCAGCAGCACCUCUGCAACGGAAACGCACGCAGCAGAAGGCAAGCCUGUACACAGGGCAUCGUAGGUGCUCUCAAAUCUUUGCCUACAAGUAUCAGGAAAAGCGUGAAAAAAUGGCCAGCAUGUUUAAAAGACACCAGGAAAUAGUCUGAAUAUUCACAUUUCAAAAUUUGAUUUUGAAACCAGUUAUUUGAAUAAAUAGUUUGCAGUGCCCCUUUAAAAAGAACCC
rnacentral:lncRNA from 1 species